AAUAUUGCACAAUGGAGGAAACUCUGAUGCAGCGACGCCGCGUGGGUGAUGAAGGCCUUCGGGUUGUAAAGCCCUUUCGUCGGGGACGCUGAUGACGGUACCCGCAGAAGAACCCCCGGCUAACUUCGUGCCAGCAGCCGCGGUAAUACGAAGGGGGCUAGCGUUGUUCGGAAUUACUGGGCGUAAAGGGCGCGUGGGCGGUCCCGAUCGUCGGAUGUGAAAGCCCCGGGCUUAACCUGGGAACGGCAUUCGAUACGGCGGGGCUAGAGUGUGGGAGAGGAUGGUGGAAUUCCCAGUGUAGAGGUGAAAUUCGUAGAUAUUGGGAAGAACACCGGUGGCGAAGGCGGCCAUCUGGACCACAACUGACGCUGAGGCACGAAAGCGUGGGGAGCGAACAGG
rnacentral:rRNA from 1 species